GACGAACCGUGCGAACGUUGUUCGGAAUCACUGGGCUUAAAGGGCGCGUAGGCGGGUCGCCGCGUCCGGGGUGAAAACCCAGGGCUCAACCCUGGGCCUGCAUUCGAUACGGGCAGACUAGAGUUCGGUAGGGGAGACUGGAAUUCCUGGUGUAGCGGUGAAAUGCGCAGAUAUCAGGAGGAACACCGGUGGCGAAGGCGGGUCUCUGGGCAGUAACUGACGCUGAGGAGCGAAAGCGUGGGGAGCGAACAGG
rnacentral:rRNA from 1 species